CCUUUGCUCCAGGACCGGAUGCGGAGCCGGGACUCAGGUGGAGGCAGGAGAAAUACGCACCCUGGGUGCACCUGUAAGUCCUCCAGGACUACAUUGGUUUUGGCUAUGACAUGACCAGGGGCUCUGGGUCGGUGGUCACCGGGCGUGGGGCUUCUGGCUGCUAAAUCAGGAGAGUGAGCGGGCCGGGCGGCGGCGAAUGAGUUGACGGGUGGAGCUGGAAGAGGCUUUGGCGAUCCAGCGGGCAAGCGAAGGACACCGCGGGAAGGGGUGGUACCCGGAAACGCAGCUGGGCAGUCGCGCCGCUCCCCUGUCCUCGCCAGCGCGCUUUCUCUUCCUGGCCCCUGCGCCUCCUCCGGGCCCCGCGGUGGCGUGAAAGGCGCUCAGGACAGACUUGUAUUUGAAUCCAAGCUGUUCCACCCACACGCUUUUGUUCUUGGGCGAGUGACUUCUAUCUGACCCAGAGUUUUCCCAGACGAAAGUGGGAAGACGGUGCCUACCCCAAAGCGUCGUGGGAAUGAAAGUCAAUGAAGUGACAUAGGAAAGGUGCCUAGCACAUGGCAGAUUCCUAUCAGGCGAAGGCCGCCUUUCCUGGCCUCCCCCACAGGCCCGCCAGCGAUUCGUCCUUACAAGGCUAGCCUCCACGGGCUGCCCUCUGUGUAAAUAAAGCCACAGACUUCCGCCCACAGGUCGCCGCAGGUCCCGCCCGCAGCGCCGGGCCGCGGGGGAGGCGGGAACUGGUGCUACGGCCGCUACGCAGGCCUCGGGAGGCUCGGAGCCCGCCACGCCCCAGCCCUCUCGCAGGGCCGGGGAGCCACGGGGCCAAAAGGAGGAGCAGGUGGAAGAAAUCCAGGCUCAGACCGUCGGAGUCCCCACCCAUGAGCACCCUUCUCCACUGAUCACUCAGAACAUGGUAGGCCCUAGAGAGACAGCAGCCCGAAUCUUCCCAGAAACCCUGCAGGAGAUUCCUUCUUCCCAUUUUAUAGAAGGGAGGCUGAGGCUCGGCACGUUGAAAUGGCUUGACCAAGGUCCCACAGGCAAAAAAAUGGUACAGCAAGAUAUUGUAACCCAAUAUCUGGCUGCAAAACCCAGUCUCUCCCCAACCCACCUAUCGUCACCGAGAUUGUAAAACUUCUAACCGGGAAGAAUCAAAUACAUGCACAACGGGUUACAGGUUAACAGACAGAUGGGAGCGGAAAGGGACAUUCCAGCGCUUCCCUGGGCGUGUCGCACAGGGCAACUCCAACCACAGGCGAAUUUUCCUGGGUGACAGUUAAACUCCUUUUUGCAUGAAAAAAUACAGAUUCUUAUUAAAACAAUAAUCGAUUAGACUAUAAAACUCUCAAAGUUAUUUCGGAUCAAAAUUAUUUUCGGCUGUUUCCACACCUUUUUUUCUCGAUUGUGCAGAAAUUCUUCACACCGUCUGCACAGAUGGGCAAACUGAGACCCGGACGAGUCCCAUUGAGAGAGAGAGGCAGAGCCGGGGUUGGGAGAAGACUGAGAUUUCUGGGAUCCGGCUUGGGGUGUUUCCGCUGGGUGGGGGCGCCGGUUUGCGAAGAGCUUUCCUCGGACAGCUACUGCUGAUUUUUGUCGCUCAGCCAGCCAAGUGGGGGCGAUUCUGAGUAAUCGCAGGCAAUCAGCGCGGCUGGGGUUAAAAGCGAAAGGGACUCGCGGGCGAACGGCCGGGGAGGGCGGCGGGCACAGAGCCCAGACGCCGGCAAAGGCGGGGCGCCGCCGGGGUUCCCUCGGUGCGAGCGCGCGCGGCACUUCCUGCUUUUGCUCCUCCCUGCGGUCCUGCCGGCCGUUGUAAACUGGCGCUGCGGGCCACACCCGUGUUCCAGGCCCGCUAACCCACCGGCGGCCCCAGAGCCCCAGGCGGCCCCAGAGACCCAGCCUCAAUCCUCAGUCCUCGUACAGUCCUCAGGUCCAAGUUCUGGCCAUAGGAACGCCAGCCAGAUCUGCAGCUCAGCUAGCUGAAUUUCAGGUUCCAGAGACCUGGCCCUUUUCUUCCAUGUAGGGGACAGUCAGGUUCUCUGGCCUGGGUUUUCUAAAAGUACCCAGAGUUGAACUACCUUCCACUCAGCAAUCCCAUUACUGGGUCUGUACCGAAAGAAAAAUAAGUGGUUCUUCCAGAAAGACACAUGAAUCCCUAUGUUCAUCGAAGUGCUAUUCACAAUAGCAAAAACUUGGAAUCAACCCAGGUGCUUGUCAAUGGUGGAUUGGAUAAAGAAAAUAUGGCUCAUACACACCACGGAACACUAUGCAGUCAUAAAAAGAAUGAAAUCGUGUCCUUUGCAGCAACAUGGAUGCAGGUGGAGGCCAUUAUCCUAAGUGAACUAAUCAGGAAAAGAAAAUCAAAUACCACAUAUCCUCACUUAUAAGCAGGAGCUAAACAAUGGGUACACAUGGACAUAAAGGUGGACAUGAUAGACACUGAGGACUACUAGAGUUAGUGGGAGAGGGAGCAGAGCAAGGGCUGGAAAAUUACCUCUUGGGUGCUAUGCUCACUAUCUGAGUGACAAGCUCAAUUAUACUAAAAACCUCAGCAUUAGGCAAUAUACCUUUGUAACAAACCUGCACAUGUACCCCCAAUUAUAAAAUAAAAGUUGGGACGGGUGCAGUGGCUCACUCUUUUAAUUCCAGCACUUUGGGAGACAGAAGGGGGAGGAUGGCUUGAGGCCAGGAGUUUGAGACCCACCUGGGCAACAAAGUGAGACCUCAUCUCUACAAAAAAUUUAAAAAUUAGCUAGGCAUGGUGGCGUGCACCUGUGGUCCCAGCUACAUAGGAGGCUGAGACAGAAGGAUUGCUUGAGCCUAGGAAGUCGAGGCUGCAGUGAGCCAUGUUCCUGCUACUGCACUCCAGCCUAGGCACUGGGCUGGACACCGUUUCAAAAUAAAGUAAAAUAAAAGUUGAAAAAAAUAUAUAAAACAAACAAAACAACCCACACUUGACAUUUGCUGACUAUAUGGCCUUGGGAAAAUUACUUAACCUCAGUCUCAGUUUCUGCAUCUGUAAAAUGUGAGUUACUGACACUUACCUCAUAUAAUUGUUGUGAGAAGUAAAUAUGUGCCUAUCUGUAAAGGCCUAGAACAUUUGAAAAAAAACUAAUUAAAUGCUAUGUUUUGUUAUUAGUGUUAGUUAGGCCUAGGUAGGAAUCUUGUUUAGGCCACUUAAGAACUGGAUGACCAGGCAGGUGUACUUUCUUCAGUUUCCCCACCUGGAAAAAGGAGUUUAUUACACUUUAUGUCACAGGGUGAUGGUGAGGUCCCCAUUAUCCAGCAAUUCCACAAGUGAUGAUGUUUGCAACUCUUACUGUUUGCCAGCACUGUCUUAAGCAUUUGACCCUUAUUAACUCAUUUAAUUCUACAAUUACAGUAUGAGAGAGGUAUUAAGAGCAUCCCAUUUCACAAAUAGGAAAUUGAGGAACGAAGAAGUUAAAUGACUUACCCAAAGUCACACAGCUACUAAGUAGGACUUGAAUCUACAAAGUUUGGCUCCUUAUUCCAUAUUCUUAAUUCCUGCAGGAUGUAUCAGACACAAUGCUAGGCAAUGGGCAUGCAGCCAGGAAUGAUACCACACACAGCUGCCUCCUCAACAAAGGCAAGGGGUUCCUUUCUGAGCUUAUUGGCAUUCCUUAUAUAUGAUUAAGCAUUGCAUGCAUAUGCUAUAUUUUAUAUAAUAAGGUGGCUUGCACACCGUAGAUAUUCAAGAUUGUUGGUUUCCCUCACUGUAAUUUUUGGGGGUCCAGUUCCAAGUGCUUACAUGGAAUGUGGAGGGAGGUUAGGUUUUAAGUGAUAGAGAAGUUGGUGUCUAAUAGAUGCUCCACAUACCUAAGUUCCCUCGUCUGUGUACUUAGUGAUCUUCCAGCUAAAGAGAAUAAAACAGCACAGGCUUAAGGUUUAGACCUUUUAACAAUAAUAAUAAUUACUUCUGCCUUUGCAGAGUAAUUCUGUUUCUGUAGAAUUAUGUCUGCACUGUGGGGUUCCCAGAAUUGAGGGUAAAUUUACUGUAUUUAUCACUUAAUCAUUUCCAAAACAGCUUAUGACUAUGGCAUCUUUAGUCAAAGGCCCAGAAUUCUCCUCCUACCCUCUGUCUUUGGAGUCCCCGUGGUAAUUUUUGCUGUAAAUGGCUAAAGCUAUUAAAUAUAGUGUACAUCUUCCUGCCAUGGAAAUAUAAGCUGUCAUUACAUUCAUUGCUUAAAUGUUGUGAUUAUUUCAAACUUGGCUUUUGUAUUUGAAGCCUUGAGUUAAAUGUGGAAAGUAAGGGAGAAAACGGAUAAUGGUUAGAAAUAAAAACGUGCAGUGGAUAGGUUUCCAAAGUAAUAAAAAGCCACUUUAAAUUUCAAAAGAUUUUAAACCUGUGUAGUUCCAGACAGAAUACCCUAAAUUCCCAUCAAACAUUGUGUCUCUAUUCUGAGGGUCAGAACCGCCUUGAGGCAAUUCAAUGAACUCAACUGACAACAAAGAAUUAAAUCAUUAAUUUCUGCUUGUAAAAGAGAUAGCCUGUGGACAACACUCAGCAGAUGGUAGGUAUUCACAAGGAAACUAUUAUGAUUAGAGACAGGGAUAUGGAGAGAACAAAGACAGUAUACUCAGCUGACAUUUAUUGAGCACCUACUAUGUGACAGUUGCUUUCAAAUCCAUUAUUUCAAAUAAACCUCAAAAUAAGGCUAUGAGGAAAAGAUCAUAUUAUAGAAGAGGAAACUGACACUCCAAGACGCUUGUUAACUUGCCGAGAAAGUGAGUGGCAAAGUCUGAGUUGGAAGAAGUUGGGUCUGACUUCAAGUUCAGUAUCUGAUUCGCUGCACCUCUCUGCUUUUUCCCUGUAUGCCCAAAUGUCAGUCAUUUUAGAGCUGGAGGUGAGGAUCAGAGGGGACUUUAAGAUCGCCUCACCCAGAGUUUCUCUGCCUCUUUUAUAAUCCAAGUCACCCUAGAUAAACACAAAAACCUUACAUCCUCUUUUAAUGAGUUUCAAAUUCAAAAUAAGCAAAAUAUCAUGAUUCAAAACAAAUCAAAGCAAGGGGACAUUUUCAGUAUUUUGUUUUGAAACAAAACAAGUCUUUCCAGCACUUUUGUUUCCAGCUCCGUGCCUCCACCAACCUCACUGGAGAGCUGGUGAUCCUUUGCCCCCCUCCUCCUAGUCAUUGACUUCCAAGGAAGUUGAGCUCAGAGCGGACUGACUGACUAGCUUGUGACAUGGUCAGCUCUUGAACUCAGGUCUGCCUGACUCCAGUGUGGUAUCUUUUCUGUAAACACCCUGCUUACUUCAUAGCCUGGUCUCUUACUGAACCCCAGCUCACAGUCCACACUUCGGACUGACUUUAUCACCUCUAGUUUCCAGAAUGUGUCCUCCUCCUUCCUGGCCGUUGCUCAGGCUUUUCCUCUCCGUGGAACACCCUCACUACCGCUCCUCCCCGCUUGUCUGGGGAGCCCCUGUUCCCCAAGCUUCAGCUGAAAUGCAGCUUACUUUAGGAGCUUUUCUGGACUCCUGCCUAUAUCCAAAUGAAGGGGACUGAUUCCUUUUGUACACGUGCCCAUGUACCCAUGUAGAAUUAUCUUUUGGCAUUUGCUAACACUUUAAUAUUCUUUACACGUCUCUUCCUUUUUUUUCUUCCUUUUUUUUUUUUAAUUUGAGACAGAGUUUCACUCUUGUCACCCAGGCUGGAGUGCAGUGGCAUGAUCUUGGCUCACUGCAACCUCUGCCUCCCCGAUUCUAGCGAUUCUCCUGCCUCACCCUCCUAAGUAGCUGGGAUUACAGGCAUGCGCCACCAUGCCCAGCUAAUUUUGUAUUUUUAGUAGAGAAGGGGUUUCACCAUGUUGGCCAGGCUGGUCUCGAACUCCCGACCUCAGAUGAUCCACCUGCUUUGGCCUCCCAAAAUGCUGGAAUUACAGGUGUGAGCCACUGCGCCCAACCUAAGUCUCUUUUUCUUAAUCGCCUAUGACCUCCUUGGAUAUCUCACUCUACUACUACCAAAAUGAUGGUGGUUGGGGUGGAUCCAUAUCUUUGUAUUCUUUCAAGAGUGCCUGGCAUUUAGCAAGCACUCAGUAAAUGUUUAUGACACACACACACACACACACACACACACACACACACACACACAACGUCAUUGUCAGAUUAUUUUAUUUUAGGUGGUCUUGAGUUUUUACUUAGACUGCGAACUCUCACAGACAGCUGUCCUCUGUUGAAGCAACAGGGAGCCACUGCAGGUUUUUGAG
rnacentral:lncRNA from 10 species